rnacentral:tRNA from 1 species
GUCAGAAUGACCGAGCGGUCUAAGGCGCCAGACUCAAGUUCUGGUCUCCGAAUGGAGGCGUGGGUUCGAAUCCCACUUCUGAUA